rnacentral:rRNA from 1 species
UGGGGAAUAUUGCACAAUGGGCGAAAGCCUGAUGCAGCGACGCCGCGUGCGGGAUGAAGGCCUUCGGGUUGUAAACCGCUUUUAAUUGGGAGCAAGCGAGAGUGAGUGUACCUUUUGAAUAAGCACCGGCUAACUACGUGCCAGCAGCCGCGGUAAUACGUAGGGUGCAAGCGUUAUCCGGAAUUAUUGGGCGUAAAGAGCUCGUAGGCGGUUUGUCACGCCUGGUGUGAAAGUCCAUCGCUUAACGGUGGAUCUGCGCCGGGUACGGGCAGGCUAGAGUGCAGUAGGGGAGAUUGGAAUUCCCGGUGUAACGGUGGAAUGUGUAGAUAUCGGGAAGAACACCAAUGGCGAAGGCAGAUCUCUGGGCUGUUACUGACGCUGAGGGGCGAAAGCAUGGGGAGCGAACAGGAUUAGAUACCCUGGUAGUCCAUGCCGUAAACGGUGGAUGCUGGAUGUGGGGCCCUUCCACGGGCUCCGUGUCGGAGCUAACGCGUUAAGCAUCCCGCCUGGGGAGUACGGCCGCAAGGCUAAAAC